rnacentral:rRNA from 1 species
UACGAAGGGGGCUAGCGUUGCUCGGAAUCACUGGGCGUAAAGCGCACGUAGGCGGAUUGCUAAGUCAGGGGUGAAAUCCUGGAGCUCAACUCCAGAACUGCCUUUGAUACUGAAGAUCUUUGAGUUCGGGGAGAGGUGAGUGGAACUGCGAGUGUAGAGGUGAAAUUCGUAGAUAUUCGCAAGAACACCAGUGGCGAAGGCGGCUCACUGGCCCGAUACUGACGCUGAGGUGCGAAAAGCGUGGGGGAGCAAACAGGG